ensembl:lncRNA
GACAGCGUUGCAAGAGGUGUUAACAGGUGUUACCAAUUUAUCAGCACCACCUCUGAUAAUCUGGUAGCAUCCAGCUGCACCACCUUUCUUUUGGUCUGUGUUAAGGGAUAUGAGGGAUUUCAUUUUCUCAGAGUUGGACUCCACUAUGCUAUUCUGCUGCCAAAAGCUGAAGGCUGUAUUUGCAGAGGAUAUGUUAAGCUCCUAAAGGAGAGGAAAAAAAUUGAAUACCUGUCAGGGGAAGGAGUUAAGUUGACAAUUAAGACAGCUCAGUGCUCUGUCGCUGCGGCUCAGCUGGAGCAGACAGGGACAGGGAUGCUGAAGCACAGCUCUCUCCUCCCUGUGACUGCAUCAGGCAGCCUCACCAGAACCUCCCAUCUGUGUGUCUGCAGGGCCACGGACAGCCUCAGCCCUCCCUCAAGGGUGCUGAGACGGAGGAAACCAGCAGUGUCUGCCCUCAGAAGGGGCAGCUUAGCAGCUGCUGCCUCUGGUGUGCCUUGCUCUGCCCUGGGGUAGUUCUCCAGGCAACUCUUUGCUUUCCUUCUGCCUCAGGAGUUGCUCUCACAGAAGUCAACGUCAGGUUCUUCCUUCUGCCUUUGCUUAUUCUAAGGAUGGUGCUGGUCCAGCAAGGAGAGAGGAUAUGGGUCCACUGCAGCCGGAAAAGGGAAAAUGGAUGUGAUCCUCUGGAAGCCAUGCUCUAAGUGGCCAUCUCCACUGUCAUUGAUGGAGAAGCACAGCUCAUGACUUACGAUUUCUCACAAGUAGCAGCACUGCAAUUUGAUUCAUGUGCCCUGGAACCAAUGAAGUCAGUAUGGUUGUGUGGAUGUGUCUCCUUUCUCGGAAUGGGUCAGGGUGUGACCUGCAUACAAUAGUCAUAUACAGGUACAAACAACUUACUCU